GACGAACGCUGGCGGCGUGCUUAACACAUGCAAGUCGAACGGAAAGGCCCUGCUUUUGUGGGGUGCUCGAGUGGCGAACGGGUGAGUAACACGUGAGUAACCUGCCCUUGACUUUGGGAUAACUUCAGGAAACUAGGGCUAAUACCGGAUAGGAGCUCCUGCUGCAUGGUGGGGGUUGGAAAGUUUCGGCGGUUGGGGAUGGACUCGCGGCUUAUCAGCUUGUUGGUGGGGUAGUGGCUUACCAAGGCUUUGACGGGUAGCCGGCCUGAGAGGGUGACCGGCCACAUUGGGACUGAGAUACGGCCCAGACUCCUACGGGAGGCAGCAGUGGGGAAUAUUGCACAAUGGGCGGAAGCCAGAUGCAGCAACGCCGCGUGCGGGAUGACGGCCUUCGGGUUGUAAACCGCUUUCGCAUGUGACGAAGCGUGAGUGACGGUAAUGGGUAAAGAAGCACCGGCUAACUACGUG
rnacentral:rRNA from 1 species